UACGUAGGGUGCAAGCGUUAUCCGGAAUUAUUGGGCGUAAAGAGCUCGUAGGCGGUUUGUCGCGUCUGCUGUGAAAACUGGAGGCUCAACCUCCAGCCUGCAGUGGGUACGGGCAGACUAGAGUGCGGUAGGGGAGAUUGGAAUUCCUGGUGUAGCGGUGGAAUGCGCAGAUAUCAGGAGGAACACCGAUGGCGAAGGCAGAUCUCUGGGCCGUAACUGACACUGAGGGACGAAAGCUAGGGGAGCGAAUGGG
rnacentral:rRNA from 1 species